rnacentral:tRNA from 1 species
GACCCCAUAGACAAGUUAGGUUAAGUCAUAACAUUUUCACUGUUACAUCCAGGGUUCGAGCCCCUGUGGGGUUA